rnacentral:rRNA from 1 species
GGCGCGGGCCGCGCAGCCGCCUCCGGGCGCGCCGCGCGACCGUGCCAUCCUCGCGGGCAGCCCGUCGGCCUUCACUGGUCGGCGGUGUCACCCGCGUCCUUUACUGUGAAAAAAUUAGAGUGUUUAAAGCAGGCUUCACGCUUGAAUACAUUAGCAUGGAAUAAUGAGAUAGGACUUCGGUGCUAUUUCGUUGGUUGCGUACCGAGGUA